rnacentral:rRNA from 2 species
UGGGGAAUAUUGGACAAUGGGCGCAAGCCUGAUCCAGCCAUGCCGCGUGUGUGAAGAAGGCCUUUUGGUUGUAAAGCACUUUAAGCGAGGAGGAGGCUACUUGGAUUAAUACUCUAGGAUAGUGGACGUUACUCGCAGAAUAAGCACCGGCUAACUCUGUGCCAGCAGCCGCGGUAAUACAGAGGGUGCGAGCGUUAAUCGGAUUUACUGGGCGUAAAGCGUGCGUAGGCGGCUUCUUAAGUCGGAUGUGAAAUCCCUGAGCUUAACUUAGGAAUUGCAUUCGAUACUGGGAAGCUAGAGUAUGGGGGAGGAUGGUAGAAUUCCAGGUGUAGCGGUGAAAUGCGUAGAGAUCUGGAGGAAUACCGAUGGCGAAGGCAGCCAUCUGGCCUAAUACUGACGCUGAGGUACGAAAGCAUGGGGAGCAAACAGG